rnacentral:rRNA from 1 species
UACGUAGGGUGCGAGCGUUGUCCGGAAUUACUGGGCGUAAAGAGCUCGUAGGUGGUUUGUCGCGUUGUUCGUGAAAACUCACAGCUCAACUGUGGGCGUGCGGGCGAUACGGGCAGACUGGAGUACUGCAGGGGAGACUGGAAUUCCUGGUGUAGCGGUGGAAUGCGCAGAUAUCAGGAGGAACACCGGUGGCGAAGGCGGGUCUCUGGGCCACUACUGACGCUGAGAAGCGAAAGCAUGGGGAGCGAACAGG